rnacentral:lncRNA from 1 species
UGGGGGAUUGAAAUCUAAACCUCCAGCUUUACAUGUAGCAGCCCUCAUUGCUUUUUAUGUCAUUGGAGGUGGAGGGUGGAGGAUAAACUAAAUCCCUGAUUUUGUUGAUACAAGGAACUUCCGGUGGGGAAGCUU